GACGAACGCUGGCGGCGUGCCUAACACAUGCAAGUCAACUUGACUGAAGGAGCAAUCUGACAGUAGAGUGGCGCAAGGGUGCGUAACGCGUAAGUAACUUGCCCAAGGUAAGGAAUAACGUCGAGAAAUCGGCGCUAAUACCUCAUAAUGCAGCGGAUCCGCAUGGAUAUGUUGUUAAAGGUUUACCGCCUUGGGAUAGGCUUGCGUCUGAUUAGUUAGUUGGUGUGGUAACGGCACACCAAGGCUACGAUCAGUAACUGGUCUGAGAGGAUGAUCAGUCACACUGGAACUGAGACACGGUCCAGACUCCUACGGGAGGCAGCAGUGAGGAAUAUUGGGCAAUGCUCGAAAGAGUGACCCAGCAACGCCGCGUGGAGGAUGAAGGUAUUCUAUAUCGUAAACUCCUGUGAGAGCAGACGAAAGACAGAUUAUUAAUUUGGAUGACUGUAUGCUCAGAGGAAGCCCCGGCUAACUACGUGCCAG
rnacentral:rRNA from 1 species